ACCCAUUUUCGAUUGUUAGUUGGUUUGUUACAACGGUGAUAUGGUAUCACCAUUGCAACCAAAAUUUACUCAAAAAGGAGGAUGGCCUUGGCAUUAAAAAUCUCACCAACUUAAAUUACUCCCUUUUGGUUUCCUCCAUUUCCAUCAAAAAAAAAAAUUACUCCCUUUUGUCAAAAUGGGCUUGGAAAUUUAUUGGAGGUCAUGCUGCACGUUGGGCUGGUC
rnacentral:lncRNA from 1 species